rnacentral:lncRNA from 1 species
GGCGUGACGGGCAGCGUCCUUGUGGAGGUGAUGGAUCGCUUCUUCCUUCUCAGCUGUUAGUUUGCUCCCUCAGGCCUGAGUGUGCUUUGCUGGCUGGUCCUGACUGCAGGGUGUGACCCAGCGGUUGGUCCUGAAAUGCGGUGUUUUCCUGAACAUGCUUUUUGAGUGGUGUGUAUAGGUUUUUACCAUGUCACCUUAUCUGCUUCUGUGCUGCCUGAUAGGGUGGCUUCGUGCCACAUGUGGUGAUGCCACGUGGAGUGAAUCAAAGUGACAAGAAAUGGGAGCUGUGGUCCCCGUUGAGCCGGCCUCAUUUCGGCUACAUGGGGGGCUGGGCGGUGGGCAGUCCACAGGGCGUGUUCCCAUCGUCACAGGGGCUGUUCGGCUGCUCAGCGCUGUUCAACGGCGGGAAAGUUUACAAGGGGCUUUGUAAAUUGCUCUUUAUGCUGCCAUCUCAUGAACAUGGAUGGAGUUUCAGUUAGGAGACGUGCUGCCUCUUUCUGGACGCCUGUUUGCCUUCAGACACCCGCAGCCCUGGAGGCGCAGGCCUUGCUAUAGCUUCUCCCUUCUGCCCAUGGGGGACGUGUUUGCCGGCAGGGAUAGGAAACCAGGGAAAGUGAAGAUCGGAAACGGCAGAGGUGGGAGAGGAAACGCUCGGAGAGAGGCCAGGGGAGGGCGGGGUGAGGAGGAAAAGCGCAGAGAAACAGAGGCUCGGAGACGCCGGGGGCGGAAGAGAGGAGCGGGGAGUAAACGCCGGGGCGGCAGGGGCCGCAGAGCGGUUUCCGGGGAAACGUGUUCUAAAGCUUGUUUUCCCCCCGCAGCCCCGUGUCUGGAGAAGUGGUCCACGCAGUCGACGAUAAAAGACCUAGAGGUGGCUGUGAAAACCCCGACUGUGGCCUCUAGACUCGGGGGCCGGGGAUCCUCGAGUGGUCACAGGUCUCCUCGUCCCAGAGGCGCCCGAGACAGCGGUGCCGGACAGUUAGGGGACGGCCGGGACUGA